ACUGCGACCUGACGGCUUCCGUGACAGGCCAGAGGCGGGACUAGGAGGACGUACCAGGAACGAUUGGCCAAGGUCGUGAGCCCGGACAGCGGACAAUCGGAUUGGCUGGCUGCGUCGCAAUGGGGCGGGUCCUCCGCUCUCGGGCACGACAAUUGGCCAUACGAAGUGCCGGAAGCAACGGGGUCGUGGUCUCGGAACCACACUGCUCGGCCCGCGGAGCCCGUCGCAGCGAGUCUGCCCAGCUCCAGAAAGGGGUGUCCCUGCUCCCGCCCGAGGCGUCGGGCGUCCGGCUGGCUAGCGGUCCCUGGUCGGCCGCGGCUUCGGAGAGCGCUCCCCGCGACGGCAGUCAGCCAAACGCGUCCCUCCUGCCGCGCGCGAGCGGCGCUCGUCGUGAGCGUGCCCUGGGGAAAGGCCGAGGGCCGCGGCCGCGAAGCCGGGAGGGUGCUGCCGAGGGCGUGCUGCCGAGGGCUCGCCCAGGCAUUUGCGUUUGCAGAGGUGGAAGUUAGACGGUAAUCUACGAAGUGGUGAUUCGGAAGGCAGACUCCAGCUAGAAUUAAAAGUAGCCAAGCCUCCUGUUUAAAUGCACUUCUAUACUUGUUAGGAACUAAGCCGAAAAGGCCCUGCUCCAGAGAUUUGAUCUCCAUAUUGGAGGGGGGAUCCAGAGACCUGCAAGUCAUCAUUCAUCUCCAGAGCCUCCCAGCCUCCUCAGAAAGACCUGCUCCUGACAGUUGCUAUCUUAGCACACCUCUGGUACUGUUUUGCAGGUGUUUAUUUAAGCUGCUCGUCCCAUGUUGAGCCUUGGAUUCAUUCUGCUUUUUGCCAGGCACUGGCCUUAGGGCUGUGGAGUUAGCCAUGAACAUAACUAAGUCCCUACCAGAGGCACUUACAUUCCAGUGUGUCUCUGGUUCCUGAAACCAAAAUAAGCUAAUUGUUCAUUAAACGUGAGCCACAUGUAGCUGCAAAGAACAGAUGUGGUGGACACUAGAGUUAAGAUGUCCAGGGCAGGUGAUACUUAGCUUCAAGUGAGGACAGACCAUGUGUUCUAGGGAAGAGAACGUGCAGAUCUCAUUUUGCCCCUAAGCAGAGGCACUCAGAGGCUCCAUCACAGUCCCGUCAGGCCCCACUGUGGCCCCAAACAUACUGCCUCAGAACAUGAGAGGUCAUUGCAUGGGCAGCCUCCUCUGCCCUUCCUGGCAGUGACCAGAGGUCACUGAUGAAAGCCCAGCCACACCAGGCUUGCUUUAACUUCCUCUUCCACAUAAGUGGCCAGAGCAGGCCAUAUUCUGGCACCUUUCCUCCCGUCUCCUCCCCUGUGGCCUUGUGGUAGGAGCUGAUAAUUGGGUUUGGGCCAGACAGGCCUGGCCUCCACCCUGUGGUCAGCCCUAGCUCACCAGCAUUCUUGGCAUUGGAGUCAGGAACCCAAGCUCAUUUCACAAUCAGUGAUGACUGGCUUUGUUCCCCAGUUCCCACAGCACAGUGGCACAUCACCCUCCCAGGCACAAGGGCAGAGAAGCUGUGAGGUGAAGCAAGAUGGAGUCCUGGGCCCUGACCCCAGUACCACCAAACAACCAGGGUAGAAAAGCAGUGGCCCUGCCCAUCACCCCAGCCACUCAGAGGCUGAGGUCAGAGGGGCACAGGUUCCAGGCCAGCCUGGGCAAUUUACUGAGGCCCUGUCCCAAAAUAAAAAUAGCUGUGUGUACCUCCGUUGUAAAGCUCCCCUGGGUUCAUUCUCCAGUACCUGGAAGGGGGGAAAAAAAGACUCUGCUUCAGUUCUUAGGACUAUAUACCCAGAAGUGGGCUUGCUGACCUUGUGGUGAUUCUACCUUAACGUGGAGGACUUCCCUGCUGCUUUCCAGAGCAACUGCACGGUUCUCAUUUUCAACCAGUGAUGCAGGAGCUCCAGGUUCUCCACAUUCUCACCACUGCUGAUAAUCUCUGGGAGGUUUUUUGGGAUUUUUGGUGGGGGGAGGGGCCAAGGAUUGACCUCAGGGUCACACUACCGCUAAGCCACAGGUCAGCCCCUAUUUUGUAUUUUAUUUAGAGACAGGGUCUCACUGAGGUUGCUUAGCGCCUCAGUUUUGCUGAGGCUGGCUUUGAACUUGCCAUCCUCCUGCCGCAUCCUCCCAAGCCUUUGGGAUUACAGAUGUGUACUGCUGAACCCUGCAAUCUCUGGGUUCUUAAAGCUUUUUUUUUUUUUUUUUUUUUUGGUGGGGGGGUGUGCAUUAUAAUUUUUUUAAAAAAAGAAUAGCUAUCCUAAUGAGGUGAAGUUUAUACACUUGAACCCAGGGCAGUUCUACCUCUGAGCUACAUGCCCGUUUUUAUUUUGAGACAGGUCUUUCUAAGUUGCUGAGGCUGUCCUACAGCUUGAGAGACUGCUGCCCAGUGAGGUGGUACUGAUCAUGCUUCUGAAGCGCCUCCCCUGACGUCAGUGAGGGCGAGCCUCUUUCUGGUUGCUUCCUGACUGUGUGCAUCUUCUCCAUAAAAGUGCAUAUAUUUCCUCCCAUUCCAAGUUGCCUUUCUACUCUUUUAAUAGUCUUUUGAUGCACAAAAACUUAAUUUUCAUGAAGUCUAAUGUUCUGCUUUGAUGGUUGCCUGUAUCUUUGGUAUCAUGACCAAACAGUCAUUGCCAGAUCCAGUGUCCAGAGUUCUGCAACACUCAGUCUCACACUUAGCUCUUCUAAUUCAUUUUGAGUUACCUUCUGAACAUGGUGUAGGGUCCACUUUCCCCAAGGCCUUUGCUGAAGACACAGUCCUUUCCCUAGCAUGUGGUCUGGCACCCUGGAGGGCCCCUUGACCAAAACACAAGGGUUUAUUUUCAGCCUCUGUACAGUUUCUUUGGUCUGUCUCUCUCUCUUUAUGCCAGUCCCAUGCUCUGUUAUGGCCAUGGUUUAAUAAGACCUAAAAUCAGAAAGUGUGAGUCCUCCAUCUUUGUUCUUUUUCAAGAAUGUUUUGGCUAUUUGGGAUUCCUUGAAAUUCAUAAAUUUUAGGAUGGAAUUUAUUUCCCUCCCUGUCUUUCUGUCUCCCUCCCUCCAUCCCUCCAUCCUGCCAUCUCUUCUUCUUUUCAAUUCUGGGAAUCAAACCCAGAGCUUUGCACAUGCUAGACAAAUUCUGUACCACUGAGCUGUAUCACCAGUCCCAAGAUGGGUUCUUCUAUGUAAAAUACAUCAUCAGGAUUUUGAGAGGGGUUGCAUUGAAUCUGUAGAUCACUUUGGGUAAUACUGAUAUCUUAACCAAUAGUAUCUUAAGAAAUGGAAUUUUUUUGUGAUUUCCUUUUAAGAUGGCUUGUGUUUGUAAUUGAAAUGCACUGAUUUUUGAGUGUUGACUUUAUAUCCUUCUAUUCUGCUGAAUUAAUGUAUAGGAUUUUCUAUAUCAUUUCAUCACCUACAUGAUAUUUCAGAUAUGCUAAUCUGCCUCAGUAUAGUAACCAUUUUUCUAUAUACAAUGUUGCAUAAUAUCAUCUUGGAAGCCUCAAUUAUAUACAGGAAAAUUGUUUAAAAAUAAAGGUUAAAAAAAUUUUUUUUGCAAGAUGGA